rnacentral:miRNA from 1 species
UUAUGCUUUACUCUUCAGCCGU